AUUGAACGCUGGCGGGAUGCUUUACACAUGCAAGUCGAACGAGUGGCGGAAGGGUGAGUAAUAUAUGGGAACGUGCCCAGUAGCGGGGGAUAACUACGCAAAAGCGUGGCUACAACCGCAUACAAUUGGAGCGGCCGAGAUCGGAUUAGCUAGUUGGUGGGGUAAAGGUGCACCAAGGCAACGAUCCGUAGCUGGUUUGAGAGGAAGACCAGCCACACUGGGACUGAGACACGGCCCAGACUCCUACGGGAGGCAGCAGUGGGGAAUUUUGGACAAUGGGGGAAACCCUGAUCCAGCCAUCCCGCGUGUAUGAGAAGGCCUUCGGGUUGUAAAGUACUUUUGGCAGGGAAGCGGUAUCUGCAGAAUAAGCACCGGCUAACUACGUGCCAGCAGCCGCGGUAAUUC
rnacentral:rRNA from 1 species